GCUCUACAAUCUGCUUUGACAUAUUUGACGUAUUUCUUUGACAUAUUUUUUUGACAUAUUUGACAUAUUUCUGUGACCAGAUGUCCUUCCUAAUGUCAACCCCUUUACAAGGUGUACUGGGUGAUUCUUUAUGUGGCACCAGCACCAGUGAGGUGACCAAGUAACUUGUGAGACAAGACCCCUCAACUGAUGGGGAGAAUAAUAUUGCAGUAAGUGGUUUUAUGCAAGGUGAUGACUGGUUAGGGGACAGUAAAAUGUGUCUUGCAGUAGACAUCAGGAAAAAAGGGGGAAAAACCUUGGUCUACACCACUUAUCGGACACAUAAUCAUUGAAAACAAAGCUGUACAAUUUUGUACCUCAUGCAGUUGAGUAUAGAAGACAACCAUGAUUAACCAAUUAUUGCUAGAGCAUUCUUUCAAGUGUUGUAUUAGGUUAAUGUUAUUAAAAAUCUUUUAUUUUCAGAUCAAUUUGGCUUGAGGUUGACUGUAGCCACAUAUCAGAGCUAUAUAAGUGGGUUGUAUCAGAGACAAAGCUCUGCUUACGGACUGUCAAUAUACUUCCUGACUCCUCUGGAAAAGACCGUUUCUUCCAUUUUAUGAGGACUGAAGAUGAUUCAGGACCAGCUUAAGCAAAACAACAGUCAUUGGAUUGGAGCCAUG